AUGAGAGGCAAUUUGCUAGCCCAAAUGAGAUGCAGAAUUAUAAAGCUAUACCGAGGAAAAUCACCACAGGAACAAGAAUGCAACAUCAAGUGCUAUUAUAGCCCUCAAUCAAAUGUCCAUAGUCUAACCUUUUCAAAAGAUAAAAGAACGGAGAAAAACUACAAAAUAAUAAAUCGAGCAACAAUGCAAGCAGGACUAAACAUCUGCAAUAGUAAUGCUUCCCAUGCACAACCUACAACCCAUGAUAUGGGUAGGAGAGUAAAUGAUAAGCUCAUAAAACACAACAAAAAGAAAAAGGAAAAUGCGAAACUUGGGAAAAAUCACCCAAGCCAAUUCCUUGCACUGGGCUUAAUUCUGAAAAUACCCAACUGA
rnacentral:lncRNA from 1 species